rnacentral:rRNA from 1 species
CCUACGGGAGGCAGCAGUGGGGAAUCUUGGACAAUGGGGGCAACCCUGAUCCAGCCAUGCCGCGUGAGUGAUGAAGGCCCUAGGGUCGUAAAGCUCUUUCGCCUGUGAUGAUAAUGACAGUAGCAGGUAAAGAAACCCCGGCUAACUCCGUGCCAGCAGCCGCGGUAAUACGGAGGGGGUUAGCGUUGUUCGGAAUUACUGGGCGUAAAGCGCGCGUAGGCGGACUAUUAAGUCAGGGGUGAAAUCCCGGGGCUCAACCCCGGAACUGCCCUUGAUACUGGUAGUCUUGAGUUCGAGAGAGGUGAGUGGAAUUCCGAGUGUAGAGGUGAAAUUCGUAGAUAUUCGGAGGAACACCAGUGGCGAAGGCGGCUCACUGGCUCGAUACUGACGCUGAGGUGCGAAAGUGUGGGGAGCAAACAGGAUUAGAUACCCUGGUAGUCCACACCGUAAACGAUGAAUGCCAGUCGUCGGGUAGCAUGCUAUUCGGUGACGCACCUAACGGAUUAAGCAUUCCGCCUGGGGAGUACGGCUGACAGAUUAAAACUCAAAGGAAUUGACGG